CCCGACCAAACAGCAUAAAACAGCCCAAAGCCACCAAUAGGUCUUCAACACAGUGUGAAAUUUUGCACCCAGAGGCUGGCUUCAGCUGGCACCUAAAAUUACCAUAAAAUAAAAACUACAUCUCACUUAACCCUAGGCCUGUGAGCUAGCUAACACUUAACUCCUACAAGGAGCUAGGUAACACUUAACUUGGAAGCCUUACGAACAAUUAACCAAUCAGUUGACGGCAAGUUGAUAGUUAGAAGCUUGGCUUGAAAACUUCUUAUGGUUUAAGAACAACAGAAUAGUAUCUGCUUGCAGUAUAUAUGAUAUGGACAAGGACAAUAAAUCUGUCAAAAAUGUGUCAUAUGAUAUGGACAAGGGCAAUAACUCUAUCAAAAGUGGGUCAACCAGAACAACAUGCACAAUCAACUUGUAACUUUUUGAAACAACAACAUCAACAAACUAUUACUUUAAAUAUGCAGGUACAACAAAUACUGUCUGAACACCUAUUAUAAUGUAAAUGGAAGGCAAUCUUAAAAGAAAGACAUAAUAAAAGCAAUAUACACUGACACAAUUUGCAUAAAAAAAUUACUUGUAUUAGAUCUUUAAAUUUCUAGAAUUAGCUAACAGUUACCCUUUCUAUUUACUUGAAAGUAAUUUCUUAUUAUGAUGAAAAGGAAUAUUUGUUUCAAGCAGUUUAAAGGGUACAAUAAAUUCUGACUUAAUGAUUUUGAUUCAGAUUUCCAGAAAUGUUGAUUAUAAAUAAUGCUGUCAAAAUUUAAAAUGCCAAUUGCUUUUUUUGCUGUACCUUAUUUCACAAUCAUAAAAGGAGUCCCAAAGUUUCAGAACUUAUAGUAUUUAAAAUUUUAACAGAAACAAUCUUCAAGAGAAAACUUAAUAAGCAAGACAUUGGUUCUGAAUCUGGGUAACGUCUUUAAAAGGCACUAGACCUAGCUGCCAAAUACUACAAAUUGUAAAAAUAAAUAUAUUUUCAACGAGUAAAAAGGGAGGUAAUCAAACAUUGUUAAUAACUGUUGUUAUUUUAAACAUAUUGCACUAUUUUUAUGCUUGAUAUCAAAUGCAGGACAUAACACUCUGCAAAUACAUUGAAUAAGUGGUAUAGUUAUUUCAUAUAUUUUACUCCCCAUGAAAGUUAAGGGAUGGUAAAUCAUAUUUUGACCAAAACUAUUUAAAACUGACUUGAAAGUGUUAAAAACACUAACAAAUAUUCAAUAAAGGUGAAAAUGACCAUAUAUAUGAGAUAAAGCUGUUGGUAUGAAAUCAUUUAUAAUUAUAUGAGUCUGGGUCGCAUUCUAGACUUAUCAUUUCAAAACUGAAGAAUCCAAAGAUGAAUCAAAGAGUUUAAUUGUUGUUUCAACUGAGUACAUAUUUCAUCAUUAUAAAUAAUAUAAAUGACAAAUAUCUAAAUUUGAUGUCGUUUUCUUGCUCUAUUUUGUCAUGGAGUCUUACAUGAUAAUAUAUUUAGCAAUAAAAUUUCUUACAUGAUUAGUCCUUGGAAUUGCUUUAAUUAGAACCCUGAUGACUACACAUUGAGUAAACUUGCAAAAUAGAAUUGGUAUUUCUUAAAUUUUAAAUACUUUCCUUGUUUUCUUAUUUUUUGACUUUAUUGUCAGUUUUUAAUAGCAGUUUAACAUUCUGAUAGCUUCACUUAAAUGUUAUUUUUUAAUGUAAAGGGAGAUAACUCACUCAUGUUUCAAAUAAAAGGCAAAAGACCUAACAUUCUAAUAAAUUGUUAUAUUUCAAGGUGAUGAAGUUUUUUUCGUUUUUGUCAUAUUGAAUUAAACAAAUCUUCAAAACUAUUUUGCAUAUAUCCUGAAUAUACCACUCAUUGCUGAAUAUUGGCUUUAAAUCUUUGAAACAAAAUAUGACAAUCAUGUUUUGGGACUUUUGUAAGCUGUUAGAGGUGUUAUAAUCUGUGAAAAAUCUGAAA
rnacentral:lncRNA from 1 species